rnacentral:rRNA from 14 species
UUUGUCAUUCAUUACAUCCCUGAAUGACCUGAUCUAGUCUGAUCUCAGAAGCUAAGGAGCGUCAGGCCUGGUUAAUACUUGAAUGAGAGAC